GAUGAACGCUGGCGGCGUGCCUAAUACAUGCAAGUCGAGCGAAUGGAUUAAGAGCUUGCUCUUAUGAAGUUAGCGGCGGACGGGUGAGUAACACGUGGGUAACCUGCCCAUAAGACUGGGAUAACUCCGGGAAACCGGGGCUAAUACCGGAUAACAUUUUGAACCGCAUGGUUCGAAAUUGAAAGGCGGCUUCGGCUGUCACUUAUGGAUGGACCCGCGUCGCAUUAGCUAGUUGGUGAGGUAACGGCUCACCAAGGCAACGAUGCGUAGCCGACCUGAGAGGGUGAUCGACCACACUGGGACUGAGACACGGCCCAGACUCCUACGGGAGGCAGCAGUAGGGAAUCUUCCGCAAUGGACGAAAGUCUGACGGAGCAACGCCGCGUGAGUGAUGAAGGCUUUCGGGUCGUAAAACUCUGUUGUUAGGGAGGAACAAGUGCUAGUUGAAUAAGCUGGCACCUUGACGGUACCUAACCAGAAAGCCACGGCUAACUACGUGCCAGCCGCCGCCGUAA
rnacentral:rRNA from 1 species